UCUAGCCGGUGGCGUGCGCCUGUAGUCCCAGCUACUCGGGAGACUGAGGCAGGAGGAUCGCUUGAGCCCAGGAGUUCUGGGCUGUAGUGCGCUAUGCCGAUCCGGUGUCCGCACUAAGUUCGGCAUCAAUAUGGUGACCUCCCGGGAGCGGGGGACCACCAGGUUGCCUAAGGAGGGGUGAACCGGCCCAGGUCGGAAAAAGAGUGAUCUAGGAAGACUUUAUUGGUGAGAUAUCAUCCUGGCAGAGACCCAAAGUGGGUAAUGGAGUGAGCCAACUACCUAU
ensembl:misc_RNA Metazoa_SRP Metazoan signal recognition particle RNA